AUGCACCUACAGGACAUGCCAUCACCAAACACUAAGGGCCUCGGCAAGGCACAGCCAUCCAGCUCAGUCUCCGAAGGAGGCUACAACCUCCUCGCCUGGAUCGCAAGGCGUCGCACUGUCAAAGAAUGGAAAGUUUCCAUGAACAUGGAUGGAAGCCGCCGAAACGUCCGAAGGGGCGGAUCAGAACACACCAAUUGUGCCGACGAGGUACUACUAGAGCAAGGUGAGCAAAACAGCCCAUGGCCAGUACACGCCGGAGGAAAAGCAAAGGCUUGGACGAGGAAGGGCACGCCACCAGCAGCUGUCAAUGACGCCUUCAGGAAGGUCGCAGCGUCCUUGACGCCGCCGCCGCCAACCGGAGUUAGGGUUUUCACCCGAGAGGCAGGGAGGAGGGGAGUGGAGGAGCAGACCUUGACCGACGUCUCCAGAAAGAAAAAGCGGCGCCCUUGGGCGUCGUCGGCGGCGUGGCCGGCCGGAGCCAACCUAGGGGUUUCCCCAAAUCUAGAUCUCCUCCACCAGCUUCGCUUGAAGCCAGGGACCCGGCAACAACGCCUCCAGGAACCAGCAGGAGAGAAGCACACCGGAACGGGGCAGAGGACGGUGGUCAGAUCUGGCGCCGCCGACCGCCAGAGUAGCCACGCCAGGCCCUAG
rnacentral:rRNA from 1 species